GUGGGGAAUUUUGCGCAAUGGGGGAAACCCUGACGCAGCGACGCCGCGUGGAGGAUGAAGGCCCUUGGGUCGUAAACUCCUGUCAGGUGGGAAGAAAAGCCUUCGGUAAACAGCCGAGGGUCUUGACUGUACCACCGGAGGAAGCCCCGGCUAACUCCGUGCCAGCAGCCGCGGUAAUACGGAGGGGGCAAGCGUUGUUCGGAAUCAUUGGGCGUAAAGGGCGCGUAGGCGGCCGAACAAGUCGGGUGUGAAAUCCCUCGGCUCAACCGAGGAACUGCACUCGAUACUGUUUGGCUAGAGUCCGGGAGGGGAUGGUGGAAUUCCCAGUGUAGCGGUGAAAUGCGUAGAUAUUGGGAAGAACACCGGUGGCGAAGGCGGCCAUCUGGACCGGCACUGACGCUGAGGCGCGAAAGCCAGGGGAGCGAAUGGGAUUAGAAACCCUAGUAGUCC
rnacentral:rRNA from 1 species